ensembl:lncRNA
UAUCAGCAGGAAGCAAACAGGGGAGGUGACAGAGAGCAAGAGAGAACUCUGCAGUGGGAGAAAGCUCAUUCACUUCAACCACAGCUGAGACAAACCAUGCCCAGUGCACCACAGGCUGGACGAAGAGCUCCCUCCCUUUCAGGCAGUGGCAUAAUGACCUCCACUACUUUUAUAAAAGACACAGGUAUUCUGCGAGUCCUCCCUUUAGGACUAUUUCUGCUAUCCAUGUUAGUAUCAGGAGUAUCAGGAGCAGCCACUACCACCCCACAAAGCUCAACAGCACCCAGUACCAGCCAGCCCUCUUCUACCACCAAUGAAGGUAUUACAGUGCUCACUACCCAUUCUUCCUCAGCCACUAGCCAGUCCACAUCGGCAGGCACAACAUCAACCACCGGUGAGUCCCCCACAUCCACAGGCACAGCAUCAACCACCAGCGAGUCCCCUACAUCCACAGGCACAGCAUCAACCACCAGCGAGUCCCCCACAUCCACAGCCACAGCAUCAACAGCCAGCGAGUCCCCCACAUCCACAGCCACAGCAUCAACAGCCAGCCAGUCCCCCACAUCCACAGCCACAGCAUCAACAGCCAGUGAGUCCCCCACAUCUACAUCCACAGGCACAGCAUCAACCACCAGUGAGUCCCCCACAUCCACAGGCACAGCAUCAACCACCAGCCAUUCCCCUACAUCCACAGGCACAGCAUUAACCACCAGUGAGUCCCCCACAUCCACAUCCACAGGCACAGCAUCAACCGCCAGUGAGUCCCCCACAUCCACAUCCACAGGCACAGCAUCAACCACCAGUGAGUCCCCCACGUCCACAGGCACAGCAUCAACCACCAGUGAGUCCCCCACGUCCACAGGCACAGCAUCAACCACCAGUGAGUCCCCCACAUCCACAGGCACAGCAUCAACCACCAGCAGUCCCCACAUCCACAGGCACAGCAUCAACCACCAGUGAGUCCCCCACAUCCACAGGCACAGCAUCAACCACCAGUGAGUCCCCCACAUCCACAGCCACAGCAUCAACCGCCAGUGAGUCCCCCACAUCUACAUCCACAGGUACAGCAUCAACCACCAGUGAGUCCCCCACAUCCGCAUUAACAGGCACAGCAUCAACCACCAGUGAGUCCCCCACAUCUACAUCCACAGGCACAGCAUCAACCACCAGUGAGUCCCCCACAUCCACAGCACAGCAUCAACCACCAGUGAGUCCCCCACAUCUACAUCCACAGGCACAGCAUCAACCACCAGUGAGUCCCCCACAUCUACAUCCACAGGCACAGCAUCAACCACCAGUGAGUCCCCCACAUCCGCAUUAACAGGCACAGCAUCAACCACCAGUGAGUCCCCCACAUCUACAUCCACAGGCACAGCAUCAACCACCAGUGAGUCCCCCACAUCCACAGGCACAGGCACAGCAUUGACCACCAGCCAGUCCCCCACAACUACACCUGCUUCUAUAGUUGAUUUACCCACCACAAUGCAAUUCCACACAACCUUACCCACUUACACAGUUGAUUCUACGACCACGACCAAACCCACCACGCCAACUACCACUUCAUCUUCCAGUUCUUUAACCACAAAGAUGAACACCAGUGACAUGACUGAGAAUGGAACCACUAAGAUAUACUGCCCCUCAUUCAACUGUAACUACUCUGACUGCUAUUCAAUGUACAUCAGUCAGAACACCACUCCGUGUGCUGUCGAUAAUUGUUGUCAGUUGUUAAGGCAAACAGACAUGUGGUAUACUGCCAGCUGCAGCAACUCUUGUGCUGACAGCUGCAAGAAUGCCUCCCAGACCAACUGUGCUGUGAACUGCUGUAAUUUCACUGGCUGUCUCAAUUACACUUUUGCAUCCAUGAUGAGCAUAACAACCAAUGGAACUCAAACCACAAAACCAACAACCACGCAGGCCCCUACUACAACUACUACCAGUCAAACAACAGCAAACAAUGGAAACAAGUGCCGUGCUGGUACAUGCACCAGCGCAAACUGCUAUACAAGUUUCACCAUGCUACAAAUGUGUUCCUCCUCAGAACCACAUUGUCAGCUGAAAAAUGAGUCUACAGAUACUGCCACAAAAUGGACAGCGGGUUGCACCAACUGCACUGGCUACACUGCUUGCAAGGCUUCAACCAAACCUCCAUGUAAUCUGGAGUGCUGCAAUGCCACAAUGACCUCUUGCCUAUGGUUGAAUGGCACACUAAAUGUUCCCUCUUUUGCCACAAGAGGUCCAUAUCUUCACACAGAACUGAUAGCUUCCUUACUUUGUAUUGUUGCUAUCGCUUUUCUGCUUUGAGAACAUGCUUGCUCAAUUGCUGUGUGCGUUAUUGGGUAAGUAGCGCUUUGUGUAACUCCUAGUUUCUCCAAAGUUACAAAGAAAAUGUAGAAAAGAUAUUAAUAUGAAUAUUUUUAUAUUCAUAUGUAAUUGUAUAGGUAUGGAAAUAUGGAAAACAUUAAUUGCAAUGUUGAUUGUGCUUCUUGUUUAAACUUUCCAGUCCCGUUUAUGUCUGGUUCCAGACCACUGAAAUGGCUUUGAACAGUAUUUCUCUAUGAAAUACUAUUUUCAGGAAUCCAGAAAAACAAGCCAGAAGCAACAUAUCAGUUGAUCAUACAAGUGAUCUUUAUAAGCAACAGAUUGAUAAAGUAAAAUAAACUUUUAAGUUAUUUUAAACCGCUAAGUACCUUGUUGUACGUUCGGAAAUGUCCUUAUCUAUUGCCAUUAUUGAUAUAAGAUUAAAUCUCUUCUUCAAGCUUUUGUUGUAGUAAUGCAGAUACAACUACAUGCACUUUAUAAAACACAAAUGUUGUGCUGUAACAGGGAGUUGUCUUUUGAAGGUUUGUUGAAUAAUUCCUGUAGAUGUAACAUUAAUGACACAUGCAAGUCAGUGCACUUAGCUACAUUUUGUGAUUUUGAGGUAUUUACUAUAUGAUUUACAAAGUAUAUUUUGUGGUACAUUCAUGUUGCAUCAAUGCUAAAUGAAAUUAGAAUAUGUGAAUUCUAGUUUUGUGCACUGUACACUAUCAAAAAUGCCUUAAAAUAAAAUAAAAUAAAUCUUAUGUAAUAUGUCUGAUAAGUUUUUCCCCAGCUACAGCUUUCGGAGUGUACUUAGUGGAUCGCGGUUUAGCAAAGUCUACAUUCCC